CUCAGAUCCACUCCUCCUUUCCUUAGUCAAAUCUUGUCUGAUUUUGGAAGCUAAGCAAGGUUGGGACUGGUUAGAACUUGGAUGGGAGACUGCAGAUAUUUCUUAUGUGAUUGCAGAGA
rnacentral:rRNA from 14 species